GACGAACGCUGGCGGCGUGCUUAACACAUGCAAGUCGAGCGGAGCGGCGGACGGGUGAGUAACGCGUGAGUAACUGCCCACCUCUCUGGGAUAACAGUUGGAAACGGCUGCUAAUACCGGAUAGUGGGGGAUGACUCGCGUCCUAUCAGCUUGUUGGUGGGGUAGUGGGCUACCACGGCGACGACGGGUAGCCGGCCUGGGAGGGGGAGCGGCCACGUUGGGCUGAGGUACGGCCCAAUCCCCUACGGGAGGCAGCAGUGCGGAAUAUUGCACAAUGGGGGAAACCCUGCUGCAGCGACGCCGCGUGCGGGAUGACGGGCUUCGGGUUGUAAACCGCUGUCAGCCAUGACGCGGUAGUGGCAGAAGAAGCACCGGCUAACUACGUGCCAGCAGCCGCGGUAAUUC
rnacentral:rRNA from 1 species